ensembl:lncRNA
GCAUUCCGUUGAUGUAGACGGCGUGAAAACGGAAACAACAAGUAUGCCGGCUCACUGUGCUGCAUACAGUUACACACUGCGUCGUACGAUUGAGACAAGGAAACUUGGAAUGACUUUUCAUAGGUUUCCCAGAGACUAUGGGUUGAGGAGGAAUUGGAAGUUUGUCGGCUUAGACCUGGUGUCAUUCCAUCAGUGUUAAACUUCCCGGCUCAUCUUGGAAGAGUACGUGCCAGAAAGACCACGAACAAGCAGCCUUGAGAUCUUAGGCAGCGUCUCCCUGAGACCAAAGAACUACAGACUCUUCACAACCUGCUCAAACUCUUGGUACAGGACCUCACCACACGGGUCAAGAAGGUUUCCAUCUCAUUUCUACUCUGAAGCUCACCUUCUCCUGCUCAAACUGCUGACAAAUGUUUCUGCUGCUCUAAAGUCUGGUCUCCAGAACUUCCUAAAAACUCUCAAAGUCUCUUCUGCUGCAGGUUGCUUUGUAGAACUGUUCCAGAAAACCUCACUAAACCACAUGGAGGGGCCUCAAGAUAGUCGUCCAAAUGAAACCAUACAAAAACCAAACUAGCACAACCCAAACACUAAAGUCUCC